rnacentral:tRNA from 1 species
GUUCCCGUAGCUCAGGUGGAUAGAGCGUCGGUUUCCUAAACUGAAGGCCACAGGUUCAAAUCCUGUCGGGAACACCA